rnacentral:lncRNA from 1 species
UUUCGAGUGCAGCAAUUGACUUGUUUUCUAACUGCAACAGAAUUGAGGAUUCAGUUCGCAUAUUUGAGGAUUCAAAUCAUUGGGACACAGCUCUGUGCAAUUCUAUGAUUUCGAGCUAUGCACUGAACAGUUUAGAAGAAAAUGCCUUGCGUGUAUUUGUCCUAACUUUGAUGGAGAAUAUUAGACCUACGGAGUUUACAGAUGAUUUCGAGUUAUGCACUGAACAGUUUAGAAGAAAAUGCCUUGCGUGUAUUUGUCCUAACUUUGAGGGAGAAUAUUAGACCUACGGAGUUUACUCUCAGCUGCAUUCUUAGCAGUGCUA